AGUACAGACAGUUCUGCGUAGGAUAAUCCAGCCUACCUGUAAGAUCUACUUAGCUCUGUGACAACUUGUGACAUUUAGGCUUUGCCAGAAAAGAAAAAAGAAAGUCAAGAGUAAUAGAAGAUUGGAGUGCUGCUGACAAGACAUCUGUGGAAGCUGGCACAAACUGGCAUUAAAUCAAGAGAUAACGUCUUUACUUCAGUUAUCUUCACUGACCUGGUAAAAUACAAGAUUUUUCUGAAUUUCCAAGGUAAAGAAUGAGGGCAUUAGGGUGAUGACUGACAUCUAUCUGCCACUCAGCUGCUCCCUUGGGGCAGAAGUGAAGGUGUACUGGGUGGUAUGCUUUUCUCCAGAGGUGGAAUGGACAGAUCCCAACAGGUUGCUGCAGUGCAAGUAUGUGAAAACUGCAGUGGAUGUGGAUGCAGGAGGUGAAGUACAUCUGGAAUCAGACACAUGUGGUCUGUGGCUACCACACGGAUUUGGCCACUGAAAGGAGCUCUGUAAUGAUGCCAGUGUGGAGAGGCUGCCAGGAUGAAGGUUUAAGGCCACGUCUGUACAUCUCCUCACCAGCCUGGCUGUAUGGCUCUUACACCAAUGUCUGAGCAGUGCUACCAAUGAGGAGCUGCAGGGUGAUGCCAAGCAGCUACAAGAUGGACCUGCAACUGGCUAAGGCCAAGGCCAUCAGUAACAGCGGCAGCACCUCUGGGGUAAUGGAUUUAAGAAGGGGGAAAAACCUGUACAGCUAUGGAUGGAGCCUGAAGGAGACUGUGACCCUGUGAGACACUUAUGCUGGAGCAGCCUUCUGACAGGACUUGUGUCCUCGGGAGGAACCCACACUGGACCAGCAUGUUCCUGAAGAACUGCAUGCCAUGGAAAGGACCCACACUGGAGGCUGUGGGAAAGACCCACUUUGGAGAAGUUCAUGGAGGACUGUGUGCCAUGGGAGCAACCCUACACUGGCACAGAGAAAGUGAGGAGUCCUUCUCUGAGGAAAAAACACCAGCAGACACAAUCUGUAGUGAACUGACUGCAGCUUCCAUUCCUUGGGGGAGACUGAGAAUUAACAAUACUUCUCACCUCCCUCUAGACACUCCAAUAGGAAAAUACUAAUUUACUAGCAACCUCACCACAGCUGCCUUGCUUUCCAUUUUCUCUGUUUCAGACAGGAACAUAUACACUGACACCAUGCAUCAUUGAUGGAAAAGUAUUUGGGAUUUCUUUCAGCAAAGAUUCUGCUCAUGAAACGUCAACCAAGAGAGGGAGAGAACUUGCAUUCUUUAGGGCAUGAAACCCAUGUAACAGAAUUUCAUAGCUUUUUAAUAUGAUUUUGUUAGUAAUGUUCCAGUGCUUUGUGGCUAAGUUCCUAAUCAUACAUAUCUAUAUCCUGACUUCUGAAAAACAAAAUACUACUUUAGUUCUUUUAACAUUGUCAGCAGCAAUGUGUAAUGAGACAAUGUCUUUAUACUGUUGGACUAAAUUUCUCACAGAGG